rnacentral:lncRNA from 1 species
GGGCCCGAUAUAAAUUCCGUUACAUUAAUUAACAACACCUUGUACAACAUUCUUUUCGGAAUUAAAAGGAGUAAGAUAUAGAUUAAACAAAACUAUCCGUCACAAUGCUAUAUAUAUAUUACGGUCUGUAUUAGGGGAGGAGAUCUACAUUUCUGCAUUCUGUAUUUCUUUUGGCCAUUUUUCUCUAUUCAGUUAGAAAUAUAUGCCCUUCUCUGUAAAAUUCUUGGGUUCAGUUCCUGCAUUUCAAAAAUUCCGUAUAUAAAAUUUUGACAAUAUAUAUUGUCUUGUCUGUAUCAACA